AUGGUCCCGUUAACCAACCUUUAUGCAGUGCCCGUUGUCUACCCGACCCUUUCUCGAGCAUCGGCUCAUUGGCAAAGGAUCGUGAUGCUCACCGGCUGGGGCUUGAGACUCGCUGUGUGACCUUGGGCAAGUGACUUAACCUCUCUGAGGUUGUCUCCAAUCCGUAAAAUAUAAUAGAGAUGGGGGUCUCACUAUGUUGGCCAGGCUGCUGUUGGGAGAUCCUGAUGACCUCUGGCCCUGGGAUCCAUAUAAGCAUCAUCAACAGGAUAUGAAAAACAAACAAAACAAGGCAAGGUGAGGGGAGGAGGGCAGCAGGAGUAGUAGUGGUCUCCUCCCUUAACUUGAGACGAGGAUUUGAGUCUGCAGCGAGCCACAAUUGUGGCACUACACUCCAGCC